rnacentral:lncRNA from 1 species
CACUAUGGCCCCUCCUAAGAGGGCAGGAUGCUGUCACUUCAGGAAGGAGGAGAAUAUACUGUGGAAGUUCAGGUCAAAGAGAACCGAGGGUGGAGAGCCAUCCCCUUGCUGCCACAGUGAACACUGGCAGAAAAAGGAAACGAAAGUAGAGCUACGAGGCCAGACAUCAAGGCGGAGGUGCCCAAGAACACUGAGGAGCUCCAUUAGAGCACAUGUGAACAGAAGCAUGGCAGCUCCAGUUCCAUCCAUCGAUGGCAGUGACCUCUGGGACGUGAACCUCUAUGAUCCUCAGUUUCCACUUAGGUUAAAGGACUAAUACCUGCUCAAAUGGAAUUAUAAAAUUAUGAGGAGGAUGAAAUGAGGUCCAUGUGAAAUACUUUAUAUAAUGUACAGCGAUAUACAGAUGAGAAUUAUCAUAUCUUAUACAUAGCAUCAUGAGCCUGUAUUUCAUUCCCUUUUUACAGGAAAAGAUACUGAGAGCAGAAAGUCCAAAUUUAUUAGGGAUUUGUGUUAAAGAUGGUAUACUGAACACACUCUUGUACCUUUGCCUCCUCCUGAAAUCCUAAAAUAAUGACAAUAAAGAGAUAGGGAGAAAAAAAGGAGGCAAUAGCAACACAAUUUUGAAAGUGGAAAAGCAAAAGUGGAAAGAAGAGUGGCAACUUACCAGCAGAACAAGGGAAAACGAAUCCUAAGCUGCAACUUGAGAAACUCAAGAAGCACUCUACUCUGCACCCCCAAAGUCCCCAAGGCUUCAGGAAGUGGGGUCUAAGUGGGCUGCAAACAGGAGGGUUGUUAAAAGUCUGUUUAAAUGUAGUGAACACCCGCUGACCAAAUCAUCUUUUCUCUGCUUGACCAAGGUGACUGCCUCUCAUCUGCUCUGGCUGAAGAUUAGAGGUUAAUGCUCUGGCAGAGUCACAGCAGGCAGUGUUUGCACUGCUUGGGGACAUCAGGCACAAGUGAGGUUGGGACUACCAUGUUGAAGAUGGAGCUUAAGUGACAGUGUAAAUAAUGAAUUCUGAAACACCUCAAACUUUUUUCCCCCUCAGCUUCCAGAACAUUGACCACUAGGCUUCUCUUCUCCAGACAGAAGAUGAGAAGAUUCUUCUCUGAAGAAUCCGACCAGCUCAAGAGAUAAGACCUAGAUUCCGAUGUUGGGGUUCUGCCAAUGAAACCGUCCAGUAGCUGACAAACAUGUACAUGCCUCACCCACAUGCUUGGAACUUCCCACAAGCUUCAAAAUGCCCCAUUUUUUUUCUUCUAUCUAUUUAUAGCUCUACUGAGGUAUAAUGUACAACUAUAAAAUAAUGUCCCACUUUUAAAUAUGAUAGAGAAUCAGGGGCUAUCAGAAAGCUGAGGAACAUCUCUAAUAUGAAACAUAAUAAACAGAAACAACUAACAUCAGAUAUUAGACGGAGACAUGAAAACUUCAAAAAAUAUCUAUCAAUAACAGUCUUAGAGCCUCUUUAAAAUAAAAGCAAGAUGCUAUAGAAAGGAGUAUCCAAAGAACAAAAAUGAAUUCUUAGAAAUUAAAAAUAAAAUAGCAGAAAUCAAAGACUCAAUAGAAAGGAUGGAAAAUAAAGUUCUUGAAUUUAUUCAUUAAAGUAGAACAAAUUUACUUUCCAUUAAAGCAGGAGGAAAAGACAUGGAAAAGAAAUAUAGGAAUGAAAAGAUGAGAAAAUCAGAACAUUAGGCCAGGAACAUUUAUCAUCCAGAAAAUGAAGUUCCAAAGGAAAAGAAAAAGAGAGAAAACAGAGGGACAUAAAUAAUCAGAAAAUAAACGAAGAACAUUUUCCAGAAAUGAAGGGCUUGGAUCUCCAGAUCGAAAGGGCCCUUUGAAGCCCAGCAUAAAAGAGGAGAAUAGCCCUAGAACAUGCACAUCAUCGUGAAAUUUCAGAGCAGUGGGACAAAGAAAAGAUAUCCCAAGCUUCCAGAGAGGAAAAACUGGCUUCAGAAAAUGGAUUGUGAAGCAGAAUGAAUUUAGACUUCUCAACAGCAUUCAGAAGCCUGGAAAACAACAGAAUAAAGGCUUCAAAAUUCUGAAAGAAACCUAUUUCCUAUCUGAAAUUGUAUUCUCAGCCACACUAAAAUAAAGUGUUAUGGCGAAAUAAAAACAUGUUCAAAUAUGCAAAGUUUCAGAAAAAUUAACUUCUUCUAAGGAAACUACUGACAGAUGUGCUCCACCCAAAUGAGAGAGCAAACCAAGAAUUAAAAAGGCAUAGAAUUUGGAAUACAAAAGAUUCAACACAGGAAAGACAGAGAGAAUUCUCAGGAUUAUAGUGUAGGGAGAUCUCAGAUGACAGCUGUGCAGAACACCCAGGCAAGACUGGGUUGAGUCAGGAGGUCCAUGAGAGUUGUCUCCAAGAAGAUGAAAUUAAUAGAAUCCUUGAUAUGUUUAAACAUAGUGAGAGGAGAUUUAGAUGUUCGUGCGUAGAAUUUGGAAUGAAUUGGUGAUACAAAUUAGAUGAUUAGAAAAUUAAGCCAGCAAAAAAUAAGUCUAUUGUUAACUCCAAAAAGUUGUGAAGGAAAGAAAAUGUGAUCAUAGAAUACAACAUGUCACUGUGAACAGCAUUUGGUUGUUAUAAUAAUGUUAACAAUAAAUAUUUAUCUCACCCAAAUUAUUAUAUAACUGUAUUGAGAGGCUGGGAACACAGAAGAGUGGUGUUUCUGCUGUAUGGGGGUGAUGGUGGUGAGGGAGGGUAGUAAAGGAGAGCCGAAUCUUCAUCCUCCCACAUGGAGAGUCAAUAGCAAAGUCUUAAAUUAGUAGUAUAUAAACAUGGUAUUUAGAUAUGUGAAGGUAAAUAUCAAAAGAAAUGGUUAAUAGUGUUAAAAGUGAUUGUCCCUAAGAAUAGGAAAUGUGUAUGGGGGCGGAGGAGAGUGGUCAUCAUGUGGUCAUUAGAACAGAUUUUGUGCAUUUGUAACUGUAAUAAAACUAUAAACUAAAUUGCUCAAAAAGUCAACUAAAUUGCCAAACUAUAUUUUUGGCACAGGAGACAAAAUUAUAGUUUCUCAACAUCUUUUCUUUGGAUUAUACAACUUGCCCCAUUUCUAAGCACUUGAGACACUGAAAUUACAAAUAGCCAAUGGCUAGACCAAAUAUAAAAAUAGAACUCUGACCCAUAAUCUGCAGCAACCAGCCCAGGAAGCCAACCUGCUAUAAGCCCACCUUGUAGGAAAUCAGACCAUAACCCCUUGCAACAAUUGGCCCCAAAUGGCCAGAACUUGAUUAAUAACUGACAGCUUCCCUAAUUUUUGUCCCAGCUUCCAACUGAGGACCAACUCGCGAAAGGCAAGUGUACACCCCUAACCAAUUACCUAGGAUGCAUCUUUUCCAGCUAGCCCGCUAACAGCUCCCCCAUGCCACCAUCCUCCAAGCAGUGCAUACCUGAAGCUUUCCUUUGUCCCACAUAGCUAUCCCACUCUUCGGGCUGCCUUUGAGUCUUGACCAAGCACAAGUGUUGGUGGCUGACUCCCUUGCUAAGCAAGUUCUUAAUAAAUAC